rnacentral:rRNA from 1 species
AGUGAACGCUGGCGGUAGGCCUAACACAUGCAAGUCGAACGGCAGCACAGUAAGAGCUUGCCCUUACGGGUGGCGAGUGGCGGACGGGUGAGGAAUACAUCGGAAUCUACUUUUUCGUGGGGGAUAACGUAGGGAAACUUACGCUAAUACCGCAUACGACCUACGGGUGAAAGCAGGGGAUCUUCGGACCUUGCGCGUUUGAAUGAGCCGAGGCCGGAUUAGCUAGUUGGCGGGGUAAAGGCCCACCAAGGCGACGAUCCGUAGCUGGUCUGAGAGGAUGAUCAGCCACACUGGAACUGAGACACGGUCCAGACUCCUACGGGAGGCAGCAGUGGGGAAUAUUGGACAAUGGGCGCAAGCCUGAUCCAGCCAUACCGCGUGGGUGAAGAAGGCCUUCGGAUUGUAAAGCCCUUUUGUUAGGGAAGAAAAGCAGCGGGAUAAAACGCCGCUGUUCUGACGGUACCCAAAGAGUAAGCACCGGCUAACUUCGUG